ensembl:lincRNA Gm26521 predicted gene, 26521
GAUUUGAAUUCUGGACCUUUGGAAGAGCAGUCGGGUGCUCUUACCCACUGAGCCAUCUCACCAGCCCCUACAAAUCACUUUUUAAAAAUGAAAACUGAUGGUAAACAAGAACAUUAUCAAGGAGGAGGAGGAGGGAAGAUCUUGACAUAGCAUAGGACAAAAUUGUAAAAACAGAAACGUAACAGGGUACUUUGUGAGAUCACAGAAAAGUCUGGGCAAAGUGUAAGAAGUUCAGAAUUCCUUCCGAGAUAAAGGACUGGCACCUGCUGAGGUCAGCUCGGUCUUUGAAAGUUUCAUUAUAGGAUACGUCUUAGUAGCAAGAGUGUUUGCCUAGGUAAGUUCAAGGUUCAAUCCCCAAUACUGAGUAGAGACAACCUUUCUAUAUGGCUUGGUGUGGUGGUGCUCACCAACAACUCCAGUACCCGUAAGGUAAAGGCAGAAAUAUGUAGGGGCCAACCUGGCUGACACACUGAAGCCCUAAAUCAAAGGAGACCUCUCCCCACUGUCUGUAAAUCUUGCUCCAACCAAGAGAUCAGAUUGGGUUUGAUGACUUCACAUCCUACAUAUAAGGAAACAAUGUAUUCAUGGAAGUGGUUCAUUCUGUAGGGAAAAAAAAGGAACAAUAAAUUUAGGACCCCCUUCUCCCUUUGUGUAUUUAUGUGUACAUAAUGUGUAUGUUGGUGUAUGUGUGCAUGUGGACAUGCGUCAGGUGCCUUCCUUGAUAACUCUCCACCUUUUAUACUGAGGCAGGGUUUAUUGCUGGACACGGAGCUCAUCACUGCAGCCACUGCAGCCGUCUACUGCAGCCCAGCUCUUGUGUCUCUGUCCUCUGAGUGCUUGGGAUUAUAAGCAGCCACUACGCCUGCCCACUUUUCACCUGAGUUUUGAGGAUCCAAACUACAAUUUUCAUGAUGGUAGAGGCAAGUGCUUUAUCACUGAGCCAUUUCCCUACCUCUGGUGUGUCCGAAGACAGCUACAGUUUACUCAUAUACAAUCAAUCAAUCAAUCAAUCUUUAAAAAACAAAACAAAAUUGGAGUUUAAAUCUUCAGACUCUAUGUAAAGCCAGGCACAGUAAUAUUCACAUACUCACAAAUUAUAGAAGUCACCUCAUACCCACAAUAUUCAUUUCUAAAGGUUAAGAAAUUCACCAUCAAGUGGAAACCAAAAACACUAUACAGAAAAUUCCAGAAAUAAUUUCUAAGAUUUAUUUAUUUUUUUUAAAUGUAUUUAUUGUUCUUUGUGAGUUCAAGGCCAGACUCAUCUGCAUAGCAAGUUGCAGGCCAGCCAAGGCUACAUAGUAAGCCUCCAUCUCAAAAAGACCAAAAAACCCAAAAGAAGAAAACCAAAACAAACAAUAAAUGGGACCAAUAAGAUAGUUCAGCUCAGCUGAUAAAACCAAGCCUGAUGAGUUGAGCUUGACCCACUCAUACACUCCCCAUAUGGUAAGAGAGAACCAAUACUUGUAAGUUGUUCUCUGACCUCUACAAGUGUGUCAUGUGUCUGCACAUGUACACACAAUCACACAAAAAAUAAAAUUAUGAUAAAUAUGUAUAAAUUACUGAGAUCUGAAGUAUGGCUAGUCAGGAAUUAGUAUGUAGGUAUAGAUAUGAUUCUUAAAAUUUAUUUUAAAAAGUGUAUCGUUAUUUUUUAAAUUCAUUUAAAAAUUUUCUACUGUGUGUGUGUGUGUACCAUUUGCGCAGGUAUUUUCAGGGUUCAGAAGAGGUCCUUGGAUACCAAGCAGAGAUUUAGUUGGUUGUGAGCCUCCAUGUGCAUACUAGGAACUGACUUCGGGCCCUCUGGAAGAGCAGCAAGCUCUCUUACACAUCAGCUAUCUCUUCUGCCCUCUCAUUACUUAUUUUUAUUGUCUAUAUUUAUUAGUAUUUUGCAUGUAAUGAGUUCAAUUAAAAUGUAGUAAAAAUUAACAAAAACAUUUGCCUAAAAAUUCAAGAGGUCCUCUUGAAUCACUUAAGCACAUAUAUGUACAUACAGCCAAUAUAAAUAAAAAUAUACAUAAAAUAUGUAUCUAUAGUUUUUUAAUUUUGUUGCCAACGCUUGGAGGAGGAAUCCAGGGCUCAGCAGAGGCAGAGUACACAUCCCACUCCUGAGCCUAAUCUCUCCUCCCAGCGCUCACCCGUGCAGGUGGCAGGUGCCAGGUCCAUGAUGUGGAAGAACACUCGGCACACCCUUUAACGUGUAUCCAACGGCG